CCGAGUUUUCAACUCCCAAACCCUUAUGUGAACCUACCUAUCGUUGCUUCGGCGGACUCGCCCCAGCCGGACGCGGACUGGACCAGCGGCCGCCGGGGACCAUCAAACUCUUGUAUUAUCAGCAUCUUCUGAAUACGCCGCAAGGCAAAACAAAUAAAUUA
rnacentral:misc_RNA from 2 species